UGGCCUGCUCUGUGGUUUCCGUGUUCACCAUACAUGUUCUAUUAUUAGGUACUGAUGGAUCAUUAGGUCAUGUUAUCAGUACUGCCAUCUCUUCUUCGGUCUUUAAUUACUUGCACUGCAAUAUUAGCUAACUGAAGGUGCCUCCAUUUAUAUUUUCUUUAUAGUAAGAGUCCAGUUCAUCUGAGGUACGACGUAAGUUACUCCUGAAUUGGUUCAUUCAUAUUUUAUAAUGUGUUUCACUGGUGCAGCUGGUUUCUGGAUGAACAUUUUCCAUUUAAAUGAGCGCACAUCAAUACCGGAUCAACUUUGAGUACAUUCAACCCAGCCUUGCACUAUUGUGUACGUGUAUCAUGCAGUGUCAUCCUAGACAAGGGGGGCAAAAUGAUUACGUGUAUCAGGCAAUGUCAUCCUAGACAAGAAGAGAAAAAUGUGUGAAAUGAGGAAUUUCCAAAUGUAUUUGAUUGUAAUAUUGAGUUUAGGUUCCAUGGUCUUCUUGACUUCCAAGUUAUUUCAUUGUCAUUAGUUGCUUCGUCCAGUUCAUUGUCACAUGGUAUCACAUGGUUCAGUUUAGCAACUUCUCUACAAAUCUAGCUUUUAACAGUUAUUCUUGCUCUGUAUGGGCAAACUUACUUACCGGACAUACAUUGUCUGGAAAAAAGCAUCAUCUACCCUCCAGUUCCUUAUGGUAUUUUCUUUGCAGAUGUUUGUCUUCUACCAGUAGGAGAGAAGAUUUUGUGUGGAAAAAAAAGACGAUACAUGCUUACUUUACAGGUUCCUAUAGUGGUUCAUCCAAACUUUCUGCGAGCCGAUUGCUAUCCUGUUUAAGUUAGAGGUUUAACCUUCACUUAUGAUGCACACACGAGUUGCGCUAAGUGAGGCCCUUCAAAAAGAAUACAGUGGUUUCUUCCGCGAUUCUGAGUCUUGCCCACAGCACUAACAUAAAUCAGAUCAGAAGCUUAAAAUGUCGCAGAUGGAAUUAGAUGGGCCAAUUCAACCACCCACUGUGUUUCUUAGACUGAAGUUUUUCAUGAUAUUGGCGGUAGGACUACAAGCUUCUGCUAAUGUAGACAGCACGCCAUGUGCUAUGUAUUUUUUGAGCUGUCAUGUGCUGUGUAUUGGAUCUGAAUAAAUAUUA